AUUAAGCUUACUUUGAGGUGAC
rnacentral:piRNA from 1 species